rnacentral:rRNA from 1 species
GACGAACGCUGGCGGCGUGCUUAACACAUGCCAGUCGAACGGAAAGGCCCUGCUUUUGUGGGGUGCUCGAGUGGCGAACGGGUGAGUAACACGUGAGUAACCUGCCCUUGACUUUGGGAUAACUUCAGGAAACUGGGGCUAAUACCGGAUAGGAGCUCCUGCUGCAUGGUGGGGGUUGGAAAGUUUCGGCGGUUGGGGAUGGAUUCGCGGCUUAUCAGCUUGUUGGUGGGGUAGUGGAUUACCAAGGCUUUGACGGGUAGCCGGCCUGGGAGGGUGACCGGGGACAUUGGGCCUAAGAGACGGACCAGACGCCUACGGGAGGCAGCAGGGGGGAGUAUUGCACAAUGGGGGGAAGCCUGAUGCAGAAACGCCGCGUGCGGGAUGACGGCCUUCGGGUUGUAAACCGCUUUCGCAUGUGACGAAGCGUGCGUGGCGGUAAUGGGUAAAGAAGCACCGGCUAACUACGUG